UCCAGACUCCUACGGGAGGCAGCAGUGGGGAAUAUUGCACAAUGGGGGAAACCCUGAUGCAGCGACGCCGCGUGAGCGAUGAAGGAUUUCGGGAUGUAAAGCUCUCUCAGCAGGGAAGAAAAUGACGGUACCUGACUAAGAAGCCCCGGCUAACUACGUGCCAGCAGCCGCGGUAAUACGUAGGGGGCAAGCGUUAUCCGGAUUUACUGGGUGUAAAGGGAGCGUAGACGGCAAUGCAAGCCAGAUGUGAAAGCCCGGGGCUCAACCCCGGGACUGCAUUUGGAACUGUGUAGCUGGAGUGUCGGAGAGGCAGGCGGAAUUCCUAGUGUAGCGGUGAAAUGCGUAGAUAUUAGGAGGAACACCAGUGGCGAAGGCGGUCUGCUGGGCAGCAACUGACGCUGAGGCGCGAAAGCGUGGGGAGCAAACAGGAUUAGAUACCCCUGUAC
rnacentral:rRNA from 1 species